UUUUACCAAUUGAGAAUGCCUUCCAUCUGUGAGUAUUGGUCACUAUUGGUCACUUCUUGAAUGCCUUCCAUCUGUGAGUGAACCACUUAAUCUGCUGUCUAUAGCGGAUAAUCAUCUUGGGAGUCUUUACUGUUCCUUCUGCUGCUCUUGGAGGUCUGCAUGCUUCCCUGGAUGGAAACUCAGAUGAGAAGGAUGUCUGCCUUUCGACACCGUCUAUACAACAAUUAUGGUCUUCGUGUUUAGGCUAUCCUAAAGCUAUGGAACGAUGUAUUCUCUACUGUGCGACGGGACUCUCUUAUCUAGGUCAUUGACAUAUCCGAGGCCAUCUUAAGAAUUAACCAAGAGAUUGACGCAGCCCUUCAUGAAGAACAUCAGAUAUGGGGUCGCAUGAGCCAAAUAUCAUUGACAUACCCGAGGCCAUCCUAAGAAUUAAACAACACAUUGACACAGACCUUUAUGGUGAAAAUCAGAUCUGGGGUCGCAAUGAGCCCAAUGUGAUCUCUUCUUUAUUCCCACUGUCGUUGUGCAAGUGUAGCCACGGACUUCAAUUCCAGCGCACGAUCGGUAUGGUGAAAUAGGGGUACACUUGGACGCCCUUUCUUCUGGUUCGUUUUGCCGGUAGAUUGUCGGCUGCUUUGUGGGCUCGCGGUGGCCUUCUAAAUGUGGUAAUCAACGUAAAGAUCCAUAUUAUCCAUGAAGUUUCAGAUGUUAUUGUUGUAUUUUGGUUUCUGUUGGUCAUGUACAGACUGUCAAAAGGUUCAAAGCUUUUGUCUGCUUUUCUUUGCUGAGUAGACUUCCCAAUUGUUUACCACAAAAUAACCAUUACUGACUUGGGCUAUCACCUGAUAUAAUCCUGCUAAUUCUGAUUAUAUUUGUAUUUGUUCAAGUUUCUAUCUGUCCAUGUUCCCCUUUUGUCCUGUGAAAAACAGCAGCCGACGCUCUCUCUACCAGCAUCCGUAUAUAUGCAUAGACACCCAGGCUACCUC